rnacentral:rRNA from 1 species
GGUUUGAUUAGCCAUGCAAGUUAUGUGUUUUUUGUAAACACGGCGAACUGCUCAGUAACACGCGGAUAUUCUGCCCUCAGGUUUGGGAUAACCCCGGGAAACUGGGGAUAAUACCAAAUGUUUCAAGGUUGCUGGAAUGCUCUUUGAUUGAAAGCUUCGGUGCCUGAGGAUGAGUCUGCGGCCUAUCAGGUUGUAGUGGGUGUAAUGUACCUACUAGUCAGCGACGGGUACGGGUUGUGAGAGCAAGAGCCCGGAGAUGGAUUCUGAGACAUGAAUCCAGGCCCUACGGGGUGCAGCAGGCGCGAAACCUUUACAAUGCGCGAAAGCGCGAUAAGGAGACCCUGAGUGCUAGCACAUAGUGCUGGCUGUCCAGCUGUUUAAAAAGCAGUUGUUAGCAAGGGCCGGGCAAGACCGGUGCCAGCCGCCGCGGUAACACCGGCGGCCCGAGUGGUAACCGAUUUUAUUGGGCUUAAAGCGUUCGUAGCCGGUUUAGUAAGUUUCUUAGGAAAUCUAGCAGCUUAACUGUUAGACGUCUAAGAGAUACUGCUAUGACUUGGGACCGGGAGAGGUAGGAGGUACUCCAAGGGUAGGGGUGAAAUCUUGUAAUCCCUGGGGGACCAUCGAUGGCGAAGGCAUCCUACCAGAACGGGUUC